rnacentral:rRNA from 1 species
AUUGAACGCUGGCGGAAUGCUUUACACAUGCAAGUCGAACGGCAGCACGGACUUCGGUCUGGUGGCGAGUGGCGAACGGGUGAGUAAUGUAUCGGAACGUGCCCAGUCGUGGGGGAUAACGUAGUGAAAAUUACGCUAAUACCGCAUACGAUCUAUGGAUGAAAGCGGGGGAUCGCAAGACCUCGCGCGAUUGGAGCGGCCGAUAUCAGAUUAGGUAGUUGGUGGGGUAAAGGCCCACCAAGCCAACGAUCUGUAGCUGGUCUGAGAGGACGACCAGGCAGACUGGAACUGAGACACAGUGCAGACUCCGACGGGGGGCAGCAGUGGGGAAUUUUGGACGAGGGGCGAGAGCCUGAUCCAGCCAUUCCGCGUGCAGGAUGAAGGCGCUCGGGUUGUAAACUGCUUUUGUACAGAACGAAAAGGUUUCUACUAAUACUAGGAGCUCAUGACGGUACUGUAAGAAUAAGCACCGGCUAACUACGUGCCAGCCGCCGCCGUAA